rnacentral:rRNA from 1 species
UGCGUAGGCGGAAAUGUAAGUCAGAGGUGAAAUCACACAGCUUAACUGGGUAAUUGCCUUUGAUACUGCGUUUCUUGAAUCAGAUUGAGGUUAGCGGAAUGAGUCAUGUAGCGGUGAAAUGCAUAGAUAUGACUUAGAACACCAAUUGCGAAGGCAGCUAGCUAGGUUUGUAUUGACGCUGAGGCACGAAAGCGUGGGGAGCGAACA